rnacentral:misc_RNA from 1 species
GGAAAGGCAAAGGAGACUUCAUAUGAUGCCCUGAAUAAUACUCCUUGUCUGCUUCCUUCCUGGAUUUCUAAGGUGUCUGCUCAACAAAGAAGAGGAAGAGCUGGCCGCGUUCAACCAGGAGAAUGUUACCAUCUUUAUCCUAGAUGUGUCUAUGAAGCCUUUGCAGAGUAUCAGUUACCAGAAAUUUUGAGGACUCCUUUGCAGUCUCUCUGUCUGCAAAUCAAAAGUUUGAAACUCAGAAGUAUUUCUGAGUUUCUCUCAAGGGCCUUGCAGUCACCUGAGUUGUUGGCGGUUCAAAAUGCUAUUGAAUACUUGAAAAUCAUUGGG